rnacentral:rRNA from 1 species
GUAGUCUCGCACAGAUGCAUAUCAAUAAGCGGAGGAAAAGAAACUAACAAGGAUUCCCCUAGUAACGGCGAGUGAAGCGGGAAGAGCUCAAAUUUGAAAUCUUAAAGGGUUUCCCUUUACGAAUUGUAGUUUAAAGAAGUGUUUUCUGUUGAGGUUUUGGUAAAAGUUCUUUGGAAUAGGACAUCAUAGAGGGUGAGAAUCCCGUAUUUGACCUUUACUUUCAACUUUGUGAUACACUUUCAAAGAGUCGGAUUGUUUGGGAAUGCAGUCCAAAAUGGGUGGUAAAUUUCAUCUAAAGCUAAAUAUUGGCGAGAGACCGAUAGCGAACAAGUACCGUGAGGGAAAGAUGAAAAGAACUUUGAAAAGAGAGUUAAACAGUACGUGAAAUUGUCAAAAGGGAAGCGUUUGACACCAGUGUUGUUUUUCUGAAAAUCAAUUAAAGAACUGUUUAUGCUAAGCUGUUUAGACUUUAUCAGCUAUCUGUUUAGUUUUGAGCUUUUCUUUAAUGCACUUUUCAGUUAACAAGUCAACAUCAAUUUCUUUUGCUGUAAAAAAGCUUGAGGAAGGUGGCUUGAGAUUCGUCUUAAGUGUUUAUAGCCUCUUGCCUAUGCAGUCGGAGAGAUUGAGGUCUGCAGCGUAGAUCCUUCGGGGCUAAAUGUAUUUGUGCUAAGUUAUAGCAUUUUAUAGGCAACUUGUUGACUAUGAUUUGUCUUGUAGCUUACUCGCUUAUGUUAUUUUACCUACGCUUAGGAUGUUGACAGCAGUAUAGACUGU